GGACCCGCACAAGCGGUGGAGCAUGUGGUUUAAUUCGAUGCAACGCGAAGAACCUUACCUGGUCUUGACAUCCUGCGAACUUUCUAGAAAUAGAUUGGUGCCUUCGGGAACGCAGUGACAGGUGCUGCAUGGCUGUCGUCAGCUCGUGUCGUGAGAUGUUGGGUUAAGUCCCGUAACGAGCGCAACCCCUAUCCUUAUUUGCCAGCACAUCAUGGUGGGAACUAUAAGGAGACUGCCGGUGAUAAACCGGAGGAAGGCGGGGACGACGUCAAGUCAUCAUGGCCCUUACGACCAGGGCUACACACGUGCUACAAUGGGAAGGACAAAGAGCCGCGAAGCCGCGAGGUGUAGCUAAUCUCAUAAACCUUUUCGUAGUCCGGAUUGGAGUCUGCAACUCGACUCCAUGAAGUCGGAAUC
rnacentral:rRNA from 1 species